AGAGUCGGCCAGACGGCCGCGGCGCCGUUCGCGGUGUCGAGGAAAGUCCGGACUCCACAGGGCAGGGUGGUCGGUAACGCCGACCCGGGGUGACCCGCGGGACAGUGCCACAGAGAACAGUCCGCCACCGCGUGCGGUGGUAAGGGUGAAACGGUGGUGUAAGAGACCACCAGCGGCCGGAGUGAUCCGGUCGGCUAGGUAAACCCCACCCGGAGCAAGGUCGAGAAGGGGGACCGCAAGGUCCUCCGCGCGGAUGAUCGAGGGCGGCCCGCCCGAGUCCGCGGGUUGACCGCACCGAGGCUGUCGGCAACGGCAGUCCCAGAUGGAUGGCCGUCCGGUCCCACCGGGACCGACAGAAUCCGGCUUAUCGGCCGGCUCUUCCC
rnacentral:RNase_P_RNA from 1 species